GCCCCUGUAGCGCAGUGGAAGCGCGUCGGUCUCCUAAACCGAAGGCCGUGGGUUCGAUCCCCACCAGGGGUG